AGAAGCGCCCCCGCCAUCCCCUGGCCACUGCCGGCCACCUGCAGUUUCCCGGAGCGCAGGGCUGUGAGGAGCGGCGCGGGGUGGGACGCGGGGCGCGGCGGCGCAGGGCCUGCUGCAAUGCUGACUCAGGGCCGGGCGUCGGGGCUUGGGGUCUGGGACAGCUCCGGCGCCGCCAGCGCGGGGGUCGAGCGCGGGGCACGUACCGUCCUGUCGCGGCCGGACUCUCCUGCCGCUGCCACCUCAGCCUUCGCUCCCCUAGACGCCGGGAAGGCGCACCCAAGAUGGAGGCAAAGAAACCGAAAGCCUGGAAGCGGACUUGGUGCUGGGCGAUCGCUGUUCGCGGCGCUUCUCUCCUACACCUCCUCCCGUGGUCCUUGUUGUCUCAGCUGUCACUGGACAAAAGUCCAAUAGCCGGCACUCACUGUGUGAGGCCGAGUCCCCACCCCUAGCUCCGGGAGUCCCUUUUAGUUGAGACUCGUCGGUGAGGCUGCAAGCUCGCUGUUUCCUGCUAUGGCUUGUGUGACUGAGUAUGCAGUAACCGGGGGUGGAUGUCGACACAAGUUCCACGCGUUAGGAGUAAACACUGCGAGUGUUUUUUUUUUUCUUUCUUUCUUUCCUUCUUUUUUGAGACAGAGUCUCGCUCUGUGGCCCAGGCUGGAGUGCAGUGGCGCAAUUUCAGCUCACUGCAACCUCCGCCUUCCUAGUUCAAGCGAUUCUCUUGCCUCAGCCUCCCGAGUAGCUGGGACUACAGGCACGCGCCAGCACGCCCGCCUAAUUUUUGUGUUUAGUAGAGACGGGGUUUCACUGUUGGCCAGAAUGGUCUCGAACUCUUGACCUCGUGAUCCGCCCGCCUCGGCCUCCCAAAGUGCUGGGAUUACAGGCGUGAGCCACCACGCCCGGCGCGAGUGUUUACAAUUGUUGUCUGGGAGUCAUAGCAAACGUGAACACACUUUGUGGUUUUUUGUGUGUAUGUUUUUGUUUGUUUUUUUUUGUUUUCCUUCUUGAGACAGGGUCUCGCGCUGUCGCCCAGGCUAGAAGGCAGUGGCGCCAUCACAGCUCACUGCAGCCUGGAUUUCCCGCUCUCAAACCAUCCAGCCCUCAGCCUCCCAAGUAGCGGGGACCACAGGUGCAAGCCACCAUGCCCGACUAAUUUUUUUUUUUUUUUGUAUUUUUAGUAGAGAUGGGGUUUCACCAUGUUGGCAAGGCUGGUCUCCAACUGCUGGCCUCAAGUGAUCCUUGCCCGCCUCGGCCUCCCAAAGUGCUGGGAUCACAGGCGUGAGCCACCGCGCCCCUCUACGUUUUUAUUUAUUCCUAAUAACUACUUUAUUGUGAUUCUUAAAGAGCUUUAACUUUUCUUGAGAUAAUUUUAAACUCACAGGAAAGGUGAAGAAUAAUACCAAGAGAGACUAACAGCAGGACGGCAUGAAGAGCUCGGGAUUCACCCCUAGUGAAACUGAAAAUUAUUUAAAACAACAAACAACCAUUAACCAUUUAAAGCCUUUGAAAUGGUCCUAAGGGCAAACAGCAAAUGAAGAAACAUCUGUUCCAAAAAAUCUAUGAAAACUCUUGGAUCAGAAUGUGAGAGUCAGUCUGUGGUAUUUAAACCAAACCUCUCCCUUUGUUCAGCAAGAGACUCCACUCCAGACUGCUGCAACUCAGAACCUCUCUCUUCCCACAGCUCCCAGUCAGAGACCAGCAUAUCAGCAUUUCUCAUCUUGCCCCUAGCUACCUGAUGCUGAAGGUUAAAGAUGAGAACAAAAGGAAGAUUUCAAGCUGGAAUUGCAGAAGGAGGAUUUGAGAUUAAUGCUGGGUCUGAAAAUUGAGCAAAGGUGUAAUGGUAAGAUUGAGUGAGAGGAGAUGGUGGUCUAAAUGAAGGAAUUAUUGUUGAAAAUGUUAAAAAUGCAGCAGAAUAGCCUGGGCAAAAUGGUGAGACUUUGUCUCUACAAAAAUUACAAAAAUUAGCCAGAUGUGGUGGCUUGAGCGUGUGGUUCCAGCUACUUGGGAGGCUGAGGUGGGAGGAUCACCUGAGCCCGCCUGGGAGGUUGGGGCUGUGGUGAGCCAUGAUUGCACCACUGCACUCCUGCCUGGGCAACACAAUGAGACCCUGUCUCAGAAAAAAAAAAAAAGUGCAGCAGAGUAAAUUCCUGUUUGAUCAACUUCUUACAAUGAAUGUUUACAGCCCUUGCUGGGUUAGAAAAUCAGCUUGAAAACAUACUUUGUAUAUUUAUUUUGAGUCUAUGUGUACUUAGUCUAAUUCAUGCAUUUAUCCAGUAGACAUUCACUGAAUACCUACUAAGUGUCUGGCAUCAUUCUAGGUGCUGAGGGUGUCUCUAAGAACAAAACUAGCUGUGCCCUCAAAGAGAUCCUAGAAUGUAGACUACUAAGAAUUAACAGAGAAAACACUAAAACUUGUAUGCUUAUUAAUCACUGUGUAAGUAAUAAAUGGAGGUCUCAUUUAGAUAAAACAAAAGCCUUGCGAUCUCCAUUAGUCAGAGUAAUAUAGAUUUGCUGGGCAUAGUGGCAUGAGCCUGUCGUCCCAGCUACUCAAGAGGCUGAGCUGGGAAGAUGGCCUGAGCUUGGAAGGUCGAGGCUACAGUGAGCUGUGAUUGCACCACUACACUCCAGCCUGAAAGACAGAGUGAGUCCCUGUCUCAGAAAAAAAAAAAAAAAGUAAUAUAGAUUUGAUACAGUAGACAGUGUGGCGUAGCAGAAAGAACAUGGGCUGUGAAGUCAGAGAUCUGAGUUCAAAUUUUGACUCUGAGACUUAAUAAAUAUCUGUGUGACUGUAGCCAA